ACGAACGCUGGCGGCGUGCUUAACACCUGUAAGUCGAACGGUGAAGCGAGUGCUUGCACUCGUGGAUCAGUGGCGAACGGGUGAGUAACACGUGAGUAACCUGCCCAUCACUCUGGGAUAAGCACUGGAAACGGUGUCUAAUACUGGAUACGACCAACCCUUGCAUGGGGUGUUGGUGGAAAGAUUUAUCGGUGAUGGAUGGACUCGCGGCCUAUCAGCUUGUUGGCGGGGUAAUGGCCCACCAAGGCGACGACGGGUAGCCGGCCUGAGAGGGUGACCGGCCACACUGGGACUGAGACACGGCCCAGACUCCUACGGGAGGCAGCAGUGGGGAAUAUUGCACAAUGGGCGAAAGCCUGAUGCAGCGACGCCGCGUGAGGGAUGACGGCCUUCGGGUUGUAAACCUCUUUCAGCAGGGAAGAAGCGAAAGUGACGGUACCUGCAGAAGAAGCACCGGCUAACUACGUG
rnacentral:rRNA from 1 species